CGAUUAAAUGAUGUAAGCCCUGUAAAGCACAGUGCUUGGCACAUAGAAAGUGCUCACCAAAUGUCACUGUUAUAAUUAAAGUUGAUGGAGAAACAGAGAUUUAGAAAGAGGUAAGUUAAUUUGCCUAAGUGAUACAGCAAAUAUAAAUGACCGAAAAGUGACUUGCACCUGGGAAGUUGACUCCAUUGCUCUUUUUUUUCUUUCUUAAAUAGGCUCCACAUCCAACCUGGGGCUUGAACUUAACAACUCUGAAAUCAAGAGUUGCUUGCCACUGACUGAGCCAGCCAGGCACCCCAUUCAGAGCUCUUGUUUCUUAACCGUGACGUUGUACUGCAUUGUGCAUGGAUUGAGGGUGAUGGUGAGAGCCUGGACAAAAACUGCAUUUUGUCUAGCUUAAGAUGAAAAGUGGUCUUGUCACUGUAAUACAGUAGUUGAGAAUGUGACCCUGAUAUGAUGUGAUAUGGUAUAUAAUUCUAGAGCCAACCUGCUGAACUUGGACAUAACUGCUUACUGUGUGACCUCGGUCUUCAUUGCAGAGUAACCCACAAGUGUCAAAAUAACACUCAGGAAAAAAAAGAAAAAGAAAAAAAAAACCCCACCACCACCACUGGUAACUCUGGUUUACUGCUUAAGAGGCCCUAUCCUGUUCUCCAGAUAACAUUUGUUGAUGUGUUCCAAAGAGUAAGCCAUGACGGGGGCAGAGGUGAGGGUGUGGUGUGCUCUUACUGCAUGUACUGGAGCUGGUGGCACCUGUUACGUGACUAUUACAGUGAAUUAUUACUGAGUAAACAAGAGUUGUCUCUCUUUUGCCUUUCUAAAGGAGACCAGAUGGCAAUGGGUGCUGGCUUAGGUCCAGGGUAGCCUGGUCUCUGGGCUGGCAGAAGAGACAGCUUAAGUGUGUCAGGUGAUGGAAUAAUAAGACAAGGGUUGACUAUAAAGUGGCAUAAUUUCAGGGGCAACAUGAAUGUAUCCUGCCCUUCUGAGACUUCCUUCAGCUCUUUGCUAGUGCUUGGAAUUCAGCAAGUGAAAUUUAUUUCCCUUAAGUGUUUGAGACCCU
rnacentral:lncRNA from 1 species